GUAAUGACGAUAAGAUAAGAUAGGGGCCGGGGACUAGUAAAUAUCGUGGGGCUCGGUUGUUCACCAGUUUUCGAAGGCAUGUGAAAGUGUGAUUAUCAAAACAGGGAAUCUAAUGUGGCCGGUUCCCGAGACUCUUUCAUGAUAAAGGCAAAGGCAAGGGAGCAGCCUCUUUAUUUAUUUUGCUUUAAAUUUUUUUUAUGGAAAGGGCAAGGAAAACAGCAAAUACAGCUCACUUCCCGACCCACCACCAAACCAUCAUCAUUUAUUUAUUUGAUCAAAACCCUAGGCCGCUAUUAGUAUUUAACCCUUGGCUACCACCAUCUUCUUUUUAUUAUUGAAGGUAACCAAAGGCCUCGGUAGGUAGGGUUGUUUACUCUUGGGGGUCUCCUUGGUUCACACCAGGAGCGUCUCCGAGGCUUCAAGUUUUGGGUUUUAAGAUCUACUUAGCACUCAGACCAUCUUGUAGGUGAAGUCGGGUUAAAGUAUGGUCUGGCUUUUGCUUUAAAGGGUCUUGGAUCUGUUCCGAGUUUUUUGUAUUUUAGUCUAGUUUCAUGGAUUUGCUUUUGUGAUGGAAAAAAAUGUUUGGCUUUUUUCUCUAGUGGGGUUGAGAGAUCACAUCUUCUCAUCUUAACUAAAGAUUGAUCGUUUACUCAAAUAGUUGUGUACUUUCGGUUUUCCAGUUUAUAGGGGAAAAGAAAAGAUGUGUUUUGCUUUUGCUUUUAAUCUUGCUUCUGUAUUUUCUUCCCGUUUAUGGUAAGUUGUCUAGGGUUAGGGUAAGUGUUUGUUUAAAGUGGUCAGGUUUUAGUGAAUAAAUAUGGCUAUUAGGAAGAAGAAAAAGAAGAAAAUCAGCCCAAGUAUUUAGAUGUAAUCCAAAGUAAGAAGGUGGGGGGUUAGGAAUGGAGCUCCUUGAAGUCCAAUAGAGUUUCUUGCUGGGUAUAUUGAGCUGCUUGGCUAUGGAUCCCACAGUCCUAUCCCAUGUUGGGAGGGAUAGGCUUGCGGCUUCCAUAUCUCAGGAGCUUCAUUACCUUUAAAGUUAGAUCCUUGUUUGGAUUGAAGGGAGCUCUACAUCUUUCUCCUUUCUCACUUCAUCGUCUAGCCAAAGAUUGAUGUGAUCUUAUAAUGCUACACUUUUAUCUUCUUUUGUUGCUGUUGACUCUUUUUCUUUUUCAUGGAUCUGUGAAGUUUAGGGUUUGAUUGUAAAUUAUUUUGCCUUGUGGGGUUUAUUGUGAAUUAAUAGUUGCAUACUGUUGUGAAUGGUUGGAUGGAUCUUGAAUUUCUUGUUACCUCUUUUGGUUUCCAUUAUUAAUUUUGGCAGAGCGUUGCUGAGACUGCAGAUGUUUACACAGGAUAAAGGAAGUGAAAGCCAAAACGAGAUGUCAGAAAGUAAAUCUUGUGGUCAUUUUCUUAGAUUCUGCUGCUGCUGCUGCGCUGUUUUCAAAAUUCAUUUUUAAUGUAAUAAUAAAAUAAAAGACAUGAAUUAUUGAACCUUUCCAUUUUCUUUUAAAUCUUGAAGGUAUCCUGUCUUCUUUUUUGUUAUGCAUAGGUUUAUCUUGUCCAGGUGGUGGAUUUGUAAAGUUGUGUUAAUUUGCAUGACAGGGAUAAUUUUAAUUAUCUUAAGACAUUAUUGAUCUUGGUCGAGGCUGGGCACCUAAACAAGAAAAAGAUAAGAGGAAAUUAGGUUUAAGUUGUGGAACUGAAGCUUUUGAGAUAUAGGGUUGGCCGGUUAGGGCAAAAGUUAUGGAUGUCGUUUUCACGUUUAUUUUACAAUAUUAUGUAUUUUUAGAAGUUAUUGUUACGUCUGUGUUUGGGUUUUGUUCUGAUUCAUACAAAAAGUUAAUUGUUAU
rnacentral:lncRNA from 1 species